rnacentral:piRNA from 1 species
GCACUGAGAUGGGAGUGGUGUAA